rnacentral:rRNA from 1 species
GACGAACGCUGGCGGCGUGCUUAACACAUGCAAGUCGAACGGAAAGGCCCUGCUUUUGUGGGGUGCUCGAGUGGCGAACGGGUGAGUAACACGUGAGUAACCUGCCCUUGACUUUGGGAUAACUUCAGGAAACUGGGGCUAAUACCGGAUAGGAGCUCCUGCUGCAUGGUGGGGGUUGGAAAGUUUCGGCGGUUGGGGAUGGACUCGCGGCUUAUCAGCUUGUUGGUGGGGUAGUGGCUUACCAAGGCUUUGACGGGUAGCCGGCCUGAGAGGGUGACCGGCCCAAAUGGGACGGAGAGAGGGGCCAGACCCCUACGGGGGGCAGCGGGGGGGAAUAUUGCACCAAGGGGGGGAGGCUGAUGCAGCAAACCCGCGGGGGGGAAGACGGCCCUUGGGUUGGAAACCCCUUUUCGCCGGGAAGAAGCGGGAGGGAAGGGAAAUGGAGAAAAAGCCCCGGGCAAAUAAGGG